rnacentral:rRNA from 1 species
UACGAAGGGGGCUAGCGUUGCUCGGAAUUACUGGGCGUAAAGCGCACGUAGGCGGCUUUCUAAGUCGGGGGUGAAAUCCUGGAGCUCAACUCCAGAACUGCCUUCGAUACUGGAGAGCUCGAGUCCGGGAGAGGUGAGUGGAACUGCGAGUGUAGAGAUGAAAUUCGUAGAUAUUCGCAAGAACACCAGUGGCGAAGGCGGCUCACUGGCCCGGUACUGACGCUGAGGUGCGAAAGCGUGGGGAGCAAACAGG